rnacentral:rRNA from 1 species
AGUCGAGCGCGAAAGUGGACUUCGGUCCGCGAGUAGAGCGGCGAACGGGUGAGUAACGCGUGGGUGAUCUACCUUCGAGUGGGGAAUAACACCGGGAAACUGGUGCUAAUACCGCAUGACAUCCUUGGUUCGUUCCAAGGAUCAAAGCCGGGGACCGUAAGGCCUGGCGCUUGAAGAGGAGCCCGCGUCCGAUUAGCUUGUUGGCGGGGUAAUGGCCCACCAAGGCUUCUAUCGGUAGCCGGCCUGAGAGGGCGGACGGCCACACUGGGACUGAGACACGGCCCAGACUCCUACGGGAGGCAGCAGUGGGGAAUUUUCCGCAAUGGGGGAAACCCUGACGGAGCAACGCCGCGUGGAGGAUGAAGGCCCUCGGGUCGUAAACUCCUGUCGAUCGGGAAGAAUGCGUCCGACCUAAUACGUCGGUGCGUUGACUGUACCGGUGGAGGAAGCCACGGCUAACUCUGUGCCAGCAGCCGCGGUAAGACAGAGGUGGCAAGCGUUGUUCGGAAUUACUGGGCGUAAAGGGCGCGCAGGCGGUCUGCCAAGUCUCGUGUGAAAUCCCCCGGCUCAACUGGGGAACUGCGCGGGAUACUAGUGGACUUGAGUUCGGGAGAGGAAAGCGGAAUUCCGGGUGUAGCGGUGAAAUGCGCAGAUAUCCGG